AUGGGUCGCAAAAGAGAACUAGAGCUGAGGAAACAGCUUGCAAUUCGGACAUUUGCUAGUAUGUUAGGUAUGAUUACAAUAGUUUUAUAUGUAAUCAAAGCAAGUGGAAGUAAUGGGAUGGCUUCAAAUGUCUCUCCAUCAGUGCGACGAAAAUGUGAUUCACCUGUAGACUGGAGUGUCACUCAAGUAGGAGAUUUGACUGUUGAUCAAAUGAUCGAAUACGUGGAAUGGACCAACAGUACGGCGUGUCGUCUCACUCACGAUUUCGGUGGACACACCCAUGAAGAUGGUGUUGAUGGGCAAAAAGCUGUUUGCAUGGAUCCACUAAUCAGGCCGGAAAGAUACAGCGAGUGUUUAGUCUAUUCGUUUGGAAUCAGCAACGACUGGACGUUCGACGAAGAGAUUGUAAAGUUGGGAUGCAGAGUCUUCGCUUUUGAUCCAUCGAUGAAUCAGGACGAUCACGAUCAUACGCCUAAAAUUCACUUUUACAAUUUGGGGCUAGGCGAUCGCGACGAGCGAUGGAACAAGGAUCCUAAUAUGAACUGGACGAUGAGGUCGCUAGAGUCCAUUUACUACAGACUACUUAAACACGAGGGCAGAUACAUAGACUACCUUAAGAUGGACAUUGAACAUUCUGAAUGGAUAGUCUUACCUCAAAUCAUCUCCUCCGGUAUGAUGGAUUUAGUGAGGCAGCUGUCAGUUGAAAUACAUCUUCCUGAACAAGGUGGAAUCGAUGAAUUUCAUAGACGCAUCAAGGUCAUCAAGGCGCUAGAAGAUUAUGGAAUGGUCCGCUUUGAUUCCAAAUACAACCCUUGGUCGCUGGAAUGGAACGUCGCCGUCGACUGGGAAGGAUAUAAUGCAUACGAGAUUGUUUGGUUCAAUUCUAAACUUGUCCGAACGAAACCCAUGGUGGAAAUGAAUUCGACCCAACGUCAACCUAGAGUCAAUAAGAAAAAGAAAAUACAUAAUCCAAUAAAUGUCAACAGAUCCAUGUACAGAAAAAAAAAUUUAAAAGGUUGAUAACAUGCCAUGUGUUUUGUGAAAUAAACUAUUGCGCAAACGACUUGUUUAAAUCUUCCGCGAAAACUUUUUGAAACAUUUGAUAAACGAUUCUAUACCUUAAGGGCAUUAAUCGAUAAAACGCCCCUUUUUAAUGAUUAAUUCCACAAUUGCCCGGUUAUCUAAGGCAGUUGAUCUCUAGCUCUUGGCUAGUUCACUGAACAACUUCACCUGCAUUAUUUUAGUUUUUACGACAGAAACAAAGUUCUAGUAGAUAUAUAAACGAUAGAUUUCAAUAUUUAAAAAAGCACUACUAAUUGGAAAAAAUCUUUUACCUUAUGCAGAAUGGCUUAUGCUGUUGAACACCAGUACACCAGAACACCAGUACGCCGAUUUCUCGAAGUGUUUCGUGAUGAGCACCAGUACGAUAGGAGACCAUGUGGGCUUACACCAGUUCAUCCAUCUAAGGCCGUGCCCAAGAGAAAACCAUGUCACGCUGCUGGAAUUUUCCCGAUCAAACCUAAAAAAGCUGGGCAGAGCCGAUCUCGCCUACCAGUACCCGUACGUUCAGUGGAAUCAGGGGUGAGAUCUUCCAAGGUACAAGCAAAGUCCACCGGGACAACUUUUCGUAAAGAAAAAUCGAGAAUCCCAGUCCUGUCAAAUCAAUUCACCAUCCACGCACCUAAAAUUGAAGCUUUAAAGAAGAGAGAGAGAGAGAUUAUGGCGGAGUUUUUUAAAGUUAGAGCCGAGAGGGAACACGUUGAAAGUCUUCAACGUAAACUCCUCGUUCACAAACCCACACCCGUUAAAACACGAAAACGUCGCUCCAAGUCUCUAGCAUUAGACAGUCCUUUCUCCCUCGACAACGAUAGUCACAACAUGGGAAAUAUGUCACCUUUGCCCCUGUUGUCACCGACCCAAUCGAAAAAUCCAGGCUCCAUCUACGAGAAUUACCGCCGUACGUUAAAUUUCCUUCAAACGCCUUCACGCUCAACUUUUAAACACCGGACUAGAUCUACUCUACAAAGCGAUAAUGGCACCAACGUUUCCCAACUAGUGCAGAGCCAACUUGCUCACCUGUUUAAUUAAAUGUCCCUGUAAAUUGUGUUUUAAUGGAAAAGUGGCUUUUAAAUUUAACUUAAUAUAUACAAAUACAAUUAUUUUAAAAACAAAA